rnacentral:rRNA from 1 species
GUGUCAGCAGCCGCGGUAAGACGAACCGUGCGAACGUUGUUCGGAAUCACUGGGCUUAAAGGGCGCGUAGGCGGCCGAGCGGGUCGUGGGUGAAAUCCCCCAGCUUAACUGGGGAAGUGCUUACGAUACCACUGCGGCUGGAGGAAGGCAGGGGCACUUGGAACUGUCGGUGGAGCGGUGAAAUGCGUUGAUAUCGACAGGAACGCCGGUGGCGAAAGCGGAGUGCUGGUCCUUUUCUGACGCUGAGGCGCGAAAGCCAGGGGAGCAAACGGGAUUAGAUACCCCCGUAGUCC